AUCGAACGCUGGCGGCAUGCCUUACACAUGCAAGUCGAACGGUAACGCGGGGCAACCUGGCGACGAGUGGCGAACGGGUGAGUAAUGCAUCGGAACGUGCCCAGUAGUGGGGGAUAGCCCGGCGAAAGCCGGAUUAAUACCGCAUACGACCUACGGGUGAAAGAGGGGGAUCGCAAGACCUCUCGCUAUUGGAGCGGCCGAUGUCAGAUUAGGUAGUUGGUGGGGUAAAGGCCUACCAAGCCUACGAUCUGUAGCUGGUCUGAGAGGACGACCAGCCACACUGGGACGGAGACACGGCCCAGACUCCUACGGGAGGCAGCAGUGGGGAAUUUUGGACAAUGGGCGCAAGCCUGAUCCAGCCAUGCCGCGUGCGGGAAGAAGGCCUUCGGGUUGUAAACCGCUUUUGUCAGGGAAGAAACGCUCUGGACUAAUACUCUGGGGUAAUGACGGUACCUGAAGAAUAAGCACCGGCUAACUACGUGCCAGCAGCCGCCGUAA
rnacentral:rRNA from 1 species